UCAGCUCAAGUGGCUAUGAAAGCAACCCUGGCUAAGGUCAACAAAGCAACAAAAGUAUUAGAGCUGAAGGCAUACCAAAACCAGAUUGCUUACUUCUGCUUUACUGAGGGUUUGUCCAAACACUUACUGAACUCUGUCAGGCUUGGUGUUGUGAUCACUUCCCUGGGGAGCCUGUUUCAGUGCCCGGCAACCCUCUGGGUGAAGAAUCUUUUCCUAAUAUCCAGCCUCCUCUGACCCAGCUUCAUGCAGUUCCCUUGGGUCCUGUCAUUGGUCACCAGAGAGAAGAGAUCAGUGCCUGCCUCUCCACUUUCCCUCACUGUAGACUGCUACAAGUUCUACCCUCAGUCUCCUCUCCUCCAGACUAUACAGAAAUUUUUUCUGAUCUUUGCAUCCAGUA